GCGCAGCAGGCGCGAAUACUUCACACUGUGCGAAAGCACGAUGAGGGAAUCCCAAGUGCUUGCACGUAAGUGUAAGCUGUUUCUCUGUUUAAAACGCAGAGAGAGUAAGGGCUGGGUAAGACGGGUGCCAGCCGCCGCGGUAAUACCUGCAGCUCAAGUGGUGACCGUUAUUAUUGGGCCUAAAGCGUCCGUAGCCGGGCCCGUAAGUCCCUGGCGAAAUCCCACGGCUCAACCGUGGGGCUUGCUGGGGAUACUGCGGGUCUUGGGACCGGGAGAGGCGGGGGGUACCCCUGGGGUAGGGGUGAAAUCCUAUAAUCCCAGGGGGACCGCCAGUGGCGAAGGCGCCCCGCUGGAACGGGUCCGACGGUGAGGGACGAAGGCCAGGGGAGCAAACCGGAUUAGAUACCC
rnacentral:rRNA from 1 species